rnacentral:tRNA from 1 species
GCUUUUAGCUCAGUGGUUAGAGCGUUCAUCUCCCAUGUUAAGGUGGCGGGUUCGAGGCCCGUGAGCG